rnacentral:lncRNA from 1 species
AAGAGGUGCGCAAACCUUAAAAAAGAAGCUUCAUUGCAAAGUGAGGAAAGUCCUGGAGCAGUUUUUGGACCUUCAAGUGAUAUCCAUAAUCAAUCGAACAAUGAAAAUAUUGAUAGUUUUAAAAAUAAUAUUUAUUCCAAUUCUGUGAACUCGAAUGUUGUUUUGCCUUUACACUGCUACACAAAUGAGUAUCAGGUAUCCUCUUCAGGUCACUCUGGAGUUGGAAAUACCGGCCUUUUAGAUAUUGGUAAAUCUUCUUUACCUUCGGAAGCAUGCUCCAGUGCGAAUACCCUUGCUUUGCAGGAUUUUGCAGGUAUGCUUACCCUGUCUAUUGGAAAUGUCAUUCCUUAUUCUUUACAAUUAUCGGUCACUUGCGGGAUUUGUUAAAAAGUUGAGACUUAUCUUCCGUGUGCUUAUGCUUUGUGUCUCAGCUGAACGGAGAAGUCACAAACUCCCUUAUAAUAGUGGACAAUGGUCAAGUGAUGGAUACUCAUGUAAUAAAGCGGUAAGUCUAUGUGUUGGGGGGAAGAGGGGAGGGUUUCUUAGGCUUUGACUCUUCUGCUUGAGAAUCUAACUAUUGAGUUUCAGACUUUCAGCAAUUGUUGGUUGAUGAUUUCAUUGGUUUGUAAGAUCAAUGUAUCUAAAGUUUUUCCUAAAGUUAUCUAAAAUUUUCUUGUCUUCAUGAUCAAGGAUUAUAGUUUGCUUCUCGCAAUGCAUGCUUGUAUAUUUUAUAAUCUCUAAUUUCUAUUUUCACAUUAUUCUGAUUGUUGCUCCCCUCUUGCUCUGUAGCUUUCUAAUGUCUAAUUUAAACACUGAUAAAGGCAUUGCAUUUCUUAUGAAUAUAGCAGGUUCUUGAUAAUGGUAAAGUGGUCAGCGGAGAGAGUGGUCCGCAAGGUGUUCAUCUAUCUAUAACUAUAUAUUUUUCUUAAGUUCUUAUAAUUCUAUAAAGUUGGGGAGCAUGUGCCAAUUGAAUAUGUAAUUUUUCAUAGCACUAUUGCAUUUGCACCUAUGUGCAAAAUAUUUGAAGACUUGAAUGCAGAAAAAAAAGUUCUCUGUGGCAUUAUGACUUGCUCUUAGAUAGAUAACAUUGAGGAGGCUGUGAAUGUGAUGGUAAACUAGUGUGCAUGAUGCAUUGUCUACUAAUGACUCUGCAUUUUCAGGUAUACAAAUGCUCACUCGGAUUUCUUUUGUGCCUGCUGAAAAUGGUGGUGGAAAUGUUCAUUCUGGAGCACCUCCGCCUUGGUUUGAAACAACUGAGGGAGUUCAGAUGCAUCCGAAGCCUGUUUUAGGAGACCUUGUCUCCCAUUCAAACAAGUCAGGGAAGCACAAAAAGUUGAAUCCUAAACGCGUUGGAGCUGCUUGGGCAGAAAAGAGAAAGAUUGAAAUGGAGAUGGAAAAGAGGGGAGAGACUGUGAGGAACGAAUGUGAUGCCAGCUGGCUUCCUAAUUUUGGUAGAGUCUGGCAAUCUGGCAGCAGAAGAGAAUCCAGAAAAGAAUUUGAAAAGGAGAAACAAGAGUUGUCAAAUGUUGAAGCUCAACCUGAGAUGCCAAUCAAGAUACAACCUUAUGUUAGCAAAAGAAUGGUGCGUUUUACAUUCUAAAUAUUAUGGGUUUGAUUUGUUUCAAAACUGUCUGUCAAAACCAGUCUGCUUUGUGCCUGACCGAGCCCAAGCUUGGCAUGUUUGGUAUAUGGGUUGCAAAAUGGGCAGAGUCAGGGGCGGUUGGUUUCAUAUCAAUGGGGUAGCAUUUGCUACCCCAAAAGAAAAAAAAAAUCUUGAAUAAUGUAGUAUAGUUUUGUAUGUAGCUACCCCAUUGAUAUAUUAUUUGGCUACUCCAAACAAUUUUUGUUGGUUUAAAGAAGGAUGAUAUCAAUAAAAUAUAGAUAAUCUAUUUAGUUUAGUAUCAAUUAUAGAUAAAUUUGACUUAAAACUUCAUAGAGCACAACUUUUAUAAAUAAUUAUUGUUAGAUUUUAUUUUCUUUACUGUCGUUUCAUUAAAUAUAAGUAAAAAUUAUCGUUAUUGAUUAAGUUCAAUAUAUUAGUUUUUAAAAUAUAUAUAUAUUUUUUGUAUUUGGCCUCCUCAUAAAUAUUGUGCUAGCUUCGCCGUUUUGCAGAGUACUUCAGACUGAUCAUACCACCAUGUCUAGAAUGGUGGUAUCAAUUGUAUACAGAUAAAACAAAUGCAUUUAAUUGGGCAGAUGCGGGUAGAUGAACUUCAGACUGAUCAUACCACCAUGCCCGACCCAACCCGCAAAAAACCGGAGGAAACAACCCGAUAUGUGCGGGUUAUAGCGGGUUAACGGGUCUACGGGUUAUAAACACGGGUAUUUAAGAGUUUAAUUGGGCAGAUGCGGGUAGAUGAACUUCAACCGCGGGUACCCGAACCCGCCCGCGAAUACAAAUAAUUUAUGGGAAUUGAUGAUAAUCAAAUGCAUUUAGGGAGUAAUAACUACUUUCAUUUGCGGUGCAAGUUUUUUAGCAAUAUAAUAACACCUUUGGUUGACCAAUUCAAUACUAUUUUAUAUCACAUUUAUUUUUAUUUACUACUAGGAUUUUACUUUGUAGUUAUUUCCUUUUAUGUUUUCCAUUGAAACGUUACAGCAAAACAUCAUCUCUCUCACGGCUUCUUCACCACCACCAUGCUCCAUCAGUAUCAAUUACUUUUCUUCAAACAUUAACACCAUGUUCUGUUAGUCUCCCUUAUUUUUCUUUUGACUACGUCCCUCCUCUUUUCUCUUCUGCAUCUUCUUUUACUUCUCAAAUCUCAGUUUUUAUUUCAAUUUUCAUUUUCUUCUUGAUGUUUUGUUGGUUGAUGAAUGAUGUAGAUCUGAGGUGAGGCUACUGUUUUUUCAAAUUUCUAUUAUGAAUCUUCUCAACCCGCGUGAACCCACCCGUAAACCCGCAACCCGAAAGACCCGAACCCGUGCAAACCGAAGAAGAAAAGCUAGCUUAAAUGGGUCUGUACACACAAACCGCGGGUUGAGCUGGGUCGAGCUUUCAGACCCGAACCCGCCCGUUGUCCACCCCUAGACUAGGUGGUACCCCAACCAUUAAACAAUUCAAAAAUGAUGAGUAACCCAGUAAUAGCGACUCAAAAGUUUAUUUGAGAUAAUCUGAUCGAAAAAGCACAAAACUCAGGAGCUGUGUGCUGCUUCGCCCUUGCAUUGCAUCAGAUACAAAUUGGAGUCACAGUGAACUCUCCUGGCCGGAAAACACACCAGAGUUGUCCGUGUAUCAGAAACUGUGAGGAAUUCCUUCUAAAUUUCCUUUUUUUUUUUAAUAAAUUAGAAUUUUCCUUCCCUUCUCCUGUAGCAUGCGAUUCCACCGCGAUGGUCACCCCUCAAAAGGCAACGCACUAAUGAUUGAAUUGCGUCGCAGAAAGAAAGAGAGGGGAGGGGCUUACGAUUGAAAAAGGUGCCUGGGAGAAUCUGAUUCCUAUUCAAAUCAUUGUUGUUUAAUGAAUAGUUGAAUACGUUUGCUCAAUUUCUGAUACUACCCUUAUUCACACACUUAUUGUUUCUUCAACUUUUCUUAUGAAACCAAUGUACUGGGUUACUCAUCAUUUUUGAAUUGUUUAAUGGUUGGGGUACCACAUACAAUAGAAAAGAUGACCUGUAUGUUCUGCAGUAAGGAGAGUAUAUGAGAUGGAGGAUAUUUAGAUCACUAGAGACAAAGACCUAGAAAAACUAUAUAAUAUGGUUUAUGAUAGAACAUUAUGGCAUGAUUUGAUCCAUGUAGCCGUCCCCACUUAGUGGGAUAAAGCUUGGUUGUUGUUGUUAUUUUCUUAUUUAUUUUUUGAAUGGUGUUCUUGUUGUUAUUGAUUGCUGUUGUCGCACCAUAUGAAAAAAUAAAAAAAGUUAUAGUCCAUUCGAGUUUUAAUUAGAAAAAACUCAAAAUUAAACCCAUAGUAAAUAAGUAAGGUGCUGAAGCUUGCAAUAAUUGCAUCUAUAGUUCAAUAUUUAUCUGUUUUUCUAAUUUUGUAACUGGCUGUUGGAGUUAUCAGCUUUUAGGCUUUACGAGCACUUCCCAUGGCUAAUGUUGGGCUGGUUGAGUAGUGCGGCCUUGCCCAAUAUAGACUCUGCCAUUUGGGACUUUAUUGUCAUUGUUACUUUACCAUUCAAACCAUUGAAAUGACAUUCUUGUCUACAUGAGAAAGUGUGAAUGAUAAGUUAAAUUCACCAUGGUGUUUUCGUUCGUAGGGACAGCCGAAAGAGAAUCCAUUUAUAAUGAGGGAGCAAUCUGAGAACAAGAGCAAGAGUGCCAAGCCUAAAACAGGCACAAAGGAGAAGAAGAAAAGUGAGUUUGAGUUCUGCAAGGUUUGCAAAAUAAAUCAUGACCAAGGUCUUCGCCACAAGUAUUUCCCUAAGCACAAACAAUCCCUUUCCACCUUCCUCUCUCGCUUCAAAAACAAACUCUCCGAUGUUCGCUUCUUCCUCAAAACACCUUCUCCUCUUACUCCUCAACUUGCUUCCGGCAAUCGCUUCUGGUGUGUUUUCUGUGACCAAGAUAUCGAUGAGCACUCCAGUUCUUUUGCCUGGUAUCAAUUUUUUGUUUUCAAUUUAUGAACUAUUGUCCAGGUUUUCUUUAGCUAAAUUGUAAUGAACGUUCUCUUGUUCUCGAGGCAGUGAAAAUGCGAUUCGUCACCUAGCAAGUGUAGAACAUGUGAAUAAUUUGAAGCACUUCUUUUGGAAAUAUGGUGGCACAGUGGAUCAGCUGGAUGUGUUUACAGUUUCUCAUAAUGACGUUGCAAAGGUGCCAUAUAAAAUCUUAUGUCUGUUUUUUAGGGGAUUUUUUUUUUUUUUUUUAUAUAUAAAAUAACUCAUUAUAUAGAAUGCAUUUGCUCAUUAAGUUACAAAAAAGCAUUUGCUCAUCAUUUGUCAUUUCUUUGCUAGUGCAGUGGGACAAGAGGUGCGCAAACCUUAAAAAAGAAGCUUCAUUGCAAAGUGAGGAAAGUCCUGGAGCAGUUUUUGGACCUUCAAGUGAUAUCCAUAAUCAAUCGAACAAUGAAAAUAUUGAUAGUUUUAAAAAUAAUAUUUAUUCCAAUUCUGUGAACUCGAAUGUUGUUUUGCCUUUACACUGCUACACAAAUGAGUAUCAGGUAUCCUCUUCAGG